GCUAGUGAUACAGAGCGAGAUGGACUAGCCCCAGAAAAGACAUCACCAGAUAGAGAUAAGAAAAAAGAGCAGUCAGAAGUAUCUGUUUCUCCUAGAGCUUCAAAACAUCAUUAUUCAAGAUCACGAUCAAGGUCAAGAGAAAGAAAACGAAAGUCAGAUAAUGAAGGAAGAAAACACAGGAGCCGGAGCAGAAGCAAAGAGGGAAGAAGACAUGAAUCCAAAGAUAAAUCCUCUAAGAAACAUAAGUCUGAGGAACAUAAUGACAAAGAACAUUCUUCUGAUAAAGGAAGAGAGCGACUAAAUUCAUCUGAAAAUGGUGAGGACAGGCACAAACGCAAAGAAAGAAAGUCAUCAAGAGGCAGAAGUCACUCAAGAUCUAGGUCUCGUGAAAGACGCCAUCGUAGUAGAAGCAGGGAGCGGAAGAAGUCUCGAUCCAGGAGUAGGGAGCGGAAGAAAUCGAGAUCCAGAAGCAGAGAGAGGAAGAAAUCGAGAUCCAGAAGCAGGGAAAGAAAACGGCGGAUCAGGUCUCGUUCCCGCUCAAGAUCAAGACACAGGCAUAGGACUAGAAGCAGGAGUAGGACAAGGAGUAGGAGUCG
rnacentral:lncRNA from 1 species